CACCUUUAUUCCAAGUAACAGAUUCAGAAGGAACCCAGGGAGAGCUUUCAGGAACAAACAGUAGUAUAGUAGGAUUACACGGGUCACUCACAAGAGCUGUCAAGCAUGGUUGACACAGGUAACCUCAUCGCCACUCCUCCUGGUGGCAGUAAGUGUAAAGGCACCCAAGUACUGGAUCAAGCCUUGCAGAAAAAUAUGGUGUAGGUCACAUGUGCCCUUCAUGUUCUUGGAAUAGGGCUGAAGUCAUACAGCCUGCGUUUUUAUUUAUAGUAAAGAUCAAGUUGGGUCAGGUAGUCCCAAAGUAGGGGUAGUUUGCAAAGGGUUUUUAACCCCUUUAGAAUAGAAUGGAAUAGAACUUUAUUGUCAUUAUACAUACAACGAAAUUAAUCAUCAUACAUACAAUGGAAUUUGUUCAGAACAACCAUCCAAGAGUAGGACAGACAAGACUAACAUAGGGGAGAUGGGUGUCUGCAGCCGCAGCCACUAUGGGCGCCGCCAGCACAAAUCAGUCUCCAGAAAAAGCAAACAAACACACAACAUUGGGUAGUUAGGUUAAAAAAAAGUCAUCUGGUAUGGUUCUCAAGAUGACCACCGUACCAGAGUCCAAAAAAACACCUUAGCAAAGCAUAUUUGCACAUUUAAAGCCAGGAUAGCAAUAU